rnacentral:tRNA from 1 species
CAAAAUGUAGCUUAAUUAUAAAGCACUUCGCUUACACCGAAAAGUAAUCUGUUAAACCCGGAUCGUUUUGAC